rnacentral:lncRNA from 1 species
ACUAAAUCCCAUGAAUUAAACACCACGAACCAUACCUAAGUUCAUGAACCAAAACUCAUGAACCAUACACCAAACUUCAUGAACCAUGAACCAAAUCCAUAAACCAAGUUCAUACACCAAAUCCAUGAACCAUAUCUAAUGAACCAAAUCUUACAUACCCAACCUCAUGAACCAUAAACCUCAUGAACCAAGUCCAUAAACCCAAGUUCAUACACCAAAUCCAUUAACCAUAUCCGAGUUCAUGAACCAAAUCUUACAUACCCAACCUCAUGAACUAUAAACUUCAUGAACCAAGUCCAUAAACCCAAGUUUAUAUACCAAAUCCAUGAACCAUAUCCAAGUUCAUAAACCAAAUCUUACAUACCCAACCUCAUGAACCAUAAACCUCAUGAACCAAGUCCAUAAACCCAAGUUCAUAUACCAAAUUCAUAAACCAUAUCCAACUUCAUGAACCAAAUCCCACAUACCCAACCGCAUCAACCAAGCUCAUGAACCAUGAAGCAAAUCUCAUGAAUCAUGAACCAAACCAUACCUAAGUUCAUGAACCAAAUCUCAUGAACCAAAUUUCAUAAACCACAUACCAAACCUCAUGAACCGUAAACCAAGUUCAUGAACCAAAUGAACUAAGUUCAUAAACCAAGUUCAUACACCACAUCCCAUGAACCAUAUACCAAACCUCAUGAACCAUACACCAAAUCCUAU